rnacentral:rRNA from 1 species
CCCUUAGAUGUUCUGGGCCGCACGCGCGCUACACUGAUGCAUUCAACGAGCCUAUCCUUGACCGACAGGUCCGGGUAAUCUUUGAAUCUGCAUCGUGACGGGGAUAGAUUAUUGCAAUUAUUAAUCUUCAACGAGGAAUGCCUAGUAGGCGCAAGUCAUCAGCUUGCGUCGAUUACGUCCCUGCCCUUUGUACACACCGCCCGUCGCUCCUACCGAUUGGGUGUGCUGGUGAAAUGUUCGGAUCGGCCGUUUGUCGCGGUUUCCGCGGCUCGUGGCUGAGAAGUUCAUUAAACCCUCCCACCUAGAGGAAGGAGAAGACGUAACA